rnacentral:rRNA from 1 species
UACGUAGGUGACCAGCGUUGUCCGGAUUUACUGGGCGUAAAGAGCGCGCAGGCGGUCGUUCAAGUCGAGUGUGAAAGCCCCCGGCUCAACUGGGGAGGGUCACUCGAUACUGAUCGACUUGAAGGCAGGAGAGGGAAGCGGAAUUCCCGGUGUAGUGGUGAAAUGCGUAGAUAUCGGGAGGAACACCUAUGGCGAAGGCAGCUCGCUGGGACGUUACUGACGCUGAGACGCGAAAGCGUGGGGAGCAAACAGG